CCCUUAGAUGUUUUGGGCUGCACACGUGCUACACUGGCAGGUUCAGCGAGCUUCAUGCCCUGAUCUGAAAGGAAUGGGAAAUCUUUUCAAAACCUGCCGUGCUUGGGAUAGAUGUUUGCAAUUAUUCAUCUUCAACGAGGAUUGCCUUGUAAGCGCACGUCAUCAGCGUGCAUUGAAUACGACCCUGUAUUCUGUACACACCGCCCGUCGCUCCUACCGAUUGAAGUUUUCGGUGAGUUGACAGGAGGAUUUUUUUGAAACUGGUUCGCCAGUGGAUUUUAGAUCCAAAUGCCAACGAAUCGAUGGCUUUAGAGGAAGGAGAAGUCGUAACA
rnacentral:rRNA from 1 species